GACGAACGCUGGCGGCGUGCCUAAUACAUGCAAGUCGAGCGAACCGGCGGAUGGGUGAGAAACGCGUGGGUAACCUGCCAGUAAGUCUGGGAUAACAGUUGGAAGCAGAUGCUAAUACCGGAUACGAAAGGAUGGGCGGGCGAUGCAUUAGCUAUUUGGUAAGGUAACGGCUUACCAAGGCCAUGAUGCAUAGCCGAGUUGAGAGACUGAUCGGCCACAUUGGGACUGAGACACGGCCCAAACUCCUACGGGAGGCAGCAGUAGGGAAUCUUCCACAAUGGACGAAAGUCUGAUCGAGCAACGCCGCGUGAGUGAAGAAGGUUUUCGGAUCGUAAAACUCUGUUGUUAGUGAAGCGGUAUCCAACCAGAAAGCCACGGCUAACUACGUGCCAGCAGCCGCGGUAAUAC
rnacentral:rRNA from 1 species